UAGGCUGGUGCAAAAGUAAUUGUGGUUUUUGCCAUUAAAAGUUAUUGUAAAAACCACAAUUACAUUUGCACCAAGCUAAU
rnacentral:miRNA from 1 species